rfam:Pteropus alecto contig87831, whole genome shotgun sequence.
UCAAAGGCUCUUUUCAGAGCCACCCACUCUUUCAAAUAAAAGAGCU